rnacentral:ncRNA from 1 species
AAAAUCCGGGAGAGAUUAUGAUUAAAACAUAACGCCGAAGGGGCAGACGCAAUAAACUCUCAGGCAAAAGGACCGGAU